GAUGAACGCUGGCGGCGUGCUUAACACAUGCAAGUCGAGGGGCAUCACAUGAAGUAGCAAUACGGAUGGUGGCGACCGGCGCACGGGUGAGUAACACGUAUGCAACCUGCCUUCAACAAGGGGAUAACCCGUUGAAAGACGGACUAAUACCCUAUAACACAGGGGUCCCGCAUGGGGAAUAUUUGUUAAAGGACAACCGGUUGAAGAUGGGCAUGCGUUCCAUUAGCUAGUUGGCGGGGUAACGGCCCACCAAGGCAACGAUGGAUAGGGGAACUGAGAGGUUUAUCCCCCACACUGGUACUGAGACACGGACCAGACUCCUACGGGAGGCAGCAGUGAGGAAUAUUGGUCAAUGGACGCAAGUCUGAACCAGCCACGUCGCGUGAAGGAAGACGGCCCUACGGGUUGUAAACUUCUUUUAUACGGGAAUAAAGUGCCCCACGCGUGGGGUUUUGCAUGUACCGUAUGAAUAAGGAUCGGCUAACUCCGUG
rnacentral:rRNA from 1 species